GGUGACUCUGUGAGACACAAAAUUUUAUUUAUUUAUACUGACUUUCCCUUGUACAUUAUAUUCUCUAUUACUUCUAUUUAUUUUUAUACUUUGUUUUCAAGCAAGUCAGACACGUUGGUCCUUAGCUGUGUACAUCCCUAGAAGUGCUUUUUAAAUUAUUUGCAUUUAUUUCUGUGAAGUGUCUCUCUAAAUUAAUAAAUUUUCUACCACCUUUCAGAAAUUUAAUUUCUGAGUCUCUGUAGACUCAAAAGAUAAUAUUGCAGGGCUUUGAUAUUUAUUAACAGUAAUUUUUUUCUAUUUAUUUUAAAAAACACGGUUUGAUGCUCAGGUUAAAAAUGUUCUGUUAUAUUUAAGAAGUUUCUGAGCUCACAUGUUCUUAAUCUUCUAAACUGUGUUCUUGUCAAUGCGCCCUGAAUAUGGAUAUGGACAUAUCGCAUCCUGCCACUUCACUCCCAAUUGUGCUUUGUAAGUUCACAGAAUUCUAGAAUGGUUUGGGAUGGAGGGGGCCUUAAGUAAAACUUCAUAGCCCUUUUCUCUGAACUACCUGCAAGAAAUGUGUACCAGAGUGGCAGUUCUGUCUCUGGAGACAAAGACCAGAUGGGAUGUGAGCACCCUGUGCACCUUCAGCUGUCUCUUUUAAGUCUUCUAAUGAGUUAAUGGAAUAUAUCUUCUUUAGAGCACUCCCUAGAAAUGGGCAUGGAAAAUGACAUUCUGUUUUUCACUCACUGCUUUGUGGCAGUAUAUACAAUUAAAAUUUUCAAGAUUCUGAGAAAAUAUUUUUACAGAACUCAGCUCUGUAUUUCAUUUCACUAAGUCACCUGGGACCUAAAAACAAAAGGGCAAAAUUUCCCCCAGGCAGAGUAUAAAAACAGACCCUCUAUUUAUAAAGGGCCUUUCUAAUAUUUCUCUAGUCCUGGUAGAUGGGGUUGCCAUUCAAGCUCUCCUGAUCAUAAGGGGGAAAAAUUUUUUUUUUUUUUUUUUUUUUUUUUUUUUUUUUUUUUUUUUUUUUUUUUUUUUUUUUUUUUUUUUUUUUUUUUUUUUUUUUUUUUUUUUGUUUUUUCUUUCUUUUCUUUGAUUGCUUUGAUAUUGCUUUUCUCUGAUUGCAAAAGGCUUCCUACUUUCAGAUAUGCUGUUGGAAUAUACAUAUGAGAAAAUGAAAUUUACCUAAGCUUUUUUGAUGAUGUUUUAAUGUGAUACUUUUUUCACUGUCAUUAUUUAAAGUUAAUCAAGGUUGGUGAUAUGGUGAUAUAUUGGUUGAUUAUAUAUAUAAUUUUUUUUCAUUAGAAGAGGGAGACAUUGUGGUUAAAAAAACCAUAACACAUUAGAACAACAAGUUCAAAAUGCUGGAACAUCAUCCUUUUCUCCUACAUAUUUCCUGUGUUGGUUUAGCCGAGUGAUUCAAACCAUUACUGUAAGUAUGUAAUCUAGGAUCCAUUAAUGUUCAUAAUGUAUUGAUGUGAUAAUGUUUAAUGAUCUUUAUUAUUGUCUUUGACUCAAUUCCUUUUCUGUAAAAUAGGGACAAGACAGUGAUAUGCAGUGCAAAAAGAUCUACAAAGAUAAAUCUAUUAUAAAUUAUAACAUAAAAUGAUUCAAGCAAUGAAUACCUUCAUUACUUCAUCUGUCUGUGUAUACCUUACUAUACAAGUAUAGUAUAGUAUACUCCCACCAUCUGCAUCUCACAGCAUAAUGCAAUAUUAACCCUGUAAAAGAAACUCUUCUCCUUUGGAUUAAUUCAUCUUUUUCACUGGGAGUUUUGGGAAAAUGUCCAUCUUAAUCUAAGCACACCAAUAUUCUGGAAAAAUAGCUGUAAUGUUUGUCAUCUAUACAUAAGAGUCAGCAAAUCCAGCAAUGAUGGAAGGUAUCUGGUUUAUUUGUUUUUCUUCUACAGUGCAUUGUUUAUAUUGUGAUCCAUUAGUAAAUAUAACUGAAAAGCAUAGAAGAAGAUCACGUGUUUGAAUUCUCUUUGCGGCAAAAUUCUGCUUCCCUUUUGGAGAUUGAGGGGGAAUUU
ensembl:lncRNA